rnacentral:rRNA from 1 species
GACGAACGCUGGCGGCGUGCCUAAUACAUGCAAGUAGAACGCUGAAGGAGGAGCUUGCUCUUCUGGAUGAGUUGCGAACGGGUGAGUAACGCGUAGGUAACCUGCCUGGUAGCGGGGGAUAACUAUUGGAAACGAUAGCUAAUACCGCAUAAGAGUAGAUGUUGCAUGACAUUUACUUAAAAGGUGCAAUUGCAUCACUACCAGAUGGACCUGCGUUGUAUUAGCUAGUUGGUGGGGUAACGGCUCACCAAGGCGACGAUACAUAGCCGACCUGAGAGGGUGAUCGGCCACACUGGGACUGAGACACGGCCCAGACUCCUACGGGAGGCAGCAGUAGGGAAUCUUCGGCAAUGGACGGAAGUCUGACCGAGCAACGCCGCGUGAGUGAAGAAGGUUUUCGGAUCGUAAAGCUCUGUUGUAAGAGAAGAGCGAGUGUGAGAGUGGAAAGUUCACACUGUGACGGUAUCUUACCAGAAAGGGACGGCUAACUACGUGCCAGCAGCCGCGGUAAUACGUAGGUCCCGAGCGUUGUCCGGAUUUAUUGGGCGUAAAGCGAGCGCAGGCGGUUAGAUAAGUCUGAAGUUAAAGGCUGUGGCUUAACCAUAGUACGCUUUGGAAACUGUUUAACUUGAGUGCAAGAGGGGAGAGUGGAAUUCCAUGUGUAGCGGUGAAAUGCGUAGAUAUAUGGAGGAACACCGGUGGCGAAAGCGGCUCUCUGGCUUGUAACUGACGCUGAGGCUCGAAAGCGUGGGGGGCAAACAGG